UGGGGAAUAUUGCACAAUGGACGGAAGUUUGAUGCAGCGACGCCGCGUGGAGGGUGUAGGCCUUCGGGUUGUGAACUCCUUUUUCUCGCGAAAAAGGCACAGUUUUGGCUGUGUUGAUGGUAGUGGGGGAAGAAGCGCCGGCUAACUACGUGCCAGCAGCCGCGGUAAUACGUAGGGCGCGAGCGUUGUCCGGAUUUAUUGGGCGUAAAGAGCUCGUAGGUGGUUCGUCGCGUCUGUCGUGAAAGCCAGCAGCUUAACUGUUGGUCUGCGGUGGGUACGGGCGGGCUUGAGUGCGGUAGGGGUGACUGGAAUUCCUGGUGUAGCGGUGGAAUGCGCAGAUAUCAGGAGGAACGCCGAUGGCGAAGGCAGGUCACUGGGCCGUUACUGACACUGAGGAGCGAAAGCGUGGGGAGCGAACAGG
rnacentral:rRNA from 1 species